AACGUAGGAGGCGAGCGUUAUCCGGAUUUACUGGGCGUAAAGCGCACGCAGGCGGUUCGUUAAGUCGGGUGUGAAAGCCCGGGGCUCAACCCCGGAACUGCGCCCGAAACUGGCGAGCUUGAAUGCGGGAGAGGGAAGCGGAAUUCCUGGUGUAGAGGCGAAAUUCGUAGAUAUCAGGAGGAACACCGGUGGCGAAAGCGGCUUCCUGGCCCGACAUUGACGCUCAUGUACGAAAGCGUGGGGAGCAAACAGG
rnacentral:rRNA from 1 species